UCUGCAUACUGUACAUAUAUUUGUGUAUAUGUUUGUUUUUCAGGGGAUUUAUAUCAGUUGCCAACUCUCAAAGUAAUGACCUCCUCCUCUGGUGAGGGCACCGAGACUACCCUCUCCUGCUUUGCCAAAGAUUUUUCACCAAAAGAUUUUGAGUUCAAAUGGCUGAAAAAUGAAGCAGAAAUCACCACUGGAAUAACCAACAUCAAAACACCUUUUGAUGAAAAAAAGACAGAGAAGGGAACACUGUACAGUGCAGCAAGUUUUCUGACAGUGCCAUCAAGUGAGUGGACUGACACCAGUACGUUUACAUGUGAGUUUAUGGGGAAAGGUGAACAAGGUCCAGCAUAUGUGAAUUCAUCUGCGACCAAAGACAUUUGUACAAAUGGACCUGAAUGCGUGGAAGCAGAUGUGGAAGUAACGAUCGUAGAACCAACAAUGGAGGACUUUGUUUUAAACGGAAAGGGAGAUGUAAAAUGUCAAGUCAAGAUAAACAAACCAUCUGUCCAAAAGAUUUUCUGGGAGACCCAUAAUGGAAAAGAAAUACCUGAUGCUGUUCCAGUGAAGCCCCCUGCAGACCAAAAAGGUGUACACACCGCUUUACUUCCCAUCACAUUUGAAGAAUGGAGACUGGGGGAAAAGUUCAUCUGCAUUGUUGAACAUGAAGACUGGCUAGAGCCACGUAAGGAAAUCUACAAAAGGACGACUGGUAAGAAGAAGAAUCAGCAAUUGUGCACUAAAAGCCUGUGUUUAAUUCCUCUUGUCAUGCCAUCAAACAUGUUAAAGAGUGUAAGUUCUAAGUGUAUUUUGUAGCAGAGAUUUUGUACA